AUAAGCAAUUAAGGGCAGAUGGAGGAUGCCUUGGCUCUUGUUAGCGAUGAAGGACGCGAUAAGCUGCGAUAAGCUGCACUGAGGCGCAAAUAGCCUGUGAGGUGCAGAUUUCCGAAUGGGGCAACCCUCAUAGUUGAAGACUAUGAAUCCGAAAGGAAGCAAACCCGGGGAACUGAAACAUCUUAGUACCCGGAGGAAAAGAAAAUAAUAAUGAUUCCCUCAGUAGUGGCGAGCGAACUGGGAAUAGCCCAAACCGGCAUUGUUUAGGCAAUACCGGGGUUGUAGGACUGCAUUUAGUACACUGAACAGAUUGAAAAGAACAUUGGAAAAUGUUGCCAUAGAAGGUGAUAGCCCUGUAUCAGUUCCGACAGUGUAUGCGCAGUAUCCUGAGUAGCGCGGGACACGUGAAAUCCUGUGUGAAACUGCCAGAACCAUCUGGUAAGGCUAAAUAUAACAAGAGACCGAUAGUGAACUAGUACUGCGAAGGAAAGGUGAAAAGAACCGUGAACAACGGAGUGAAAUAGAACCUGAAACCAUCUGCUUACAAGCGGUCGGAGCGCAAGUGACGACCUGCCUUUUGCAUAAUGAGCCUACGAGUUAUUCUUCUUUGGCAAGGAUAACCCUCUUUGAGGGGCAUCCGAAGCGAAAGCAAGUCUUAAAAGGCGUUUAGUCAAAGGAGAUAGACGCGAAACCUCAGUGAUCUACCCAUGACCAGGUUGAAGUCUCAGUAACAUGAGAUGGAGGACCGAACCCGUUGACGUUGAAAAGUCUUGGGAUGAGUUGUGGGUAGGGGUGAAAGGCCAAUCAAACUGGGAAAUAGCUCGUUCUCCCCGAAAUGCAUUUAGGUGCAGCCUCGUAUCAUCGUGCCAUGGAGGUAGAGCUACCGAUUGGGCUAGGGGGUGUCACAACCUACCAAACCCUGACGAACUCCGAAUGCCAUGUCAUAAAUACGGGAGUGAGGGUAUGGGUGCUAAGGUCCGUAUCCGAGAGGGAAUUAACCCAGACUAUCUGCUAAGGUCCCGAAGUAUAUACUAAGUUGAUCAAACGUGGUGCGGUUGCAUUGACAGCUAGGAUGUUUGCUUGGAAGCAGCAAUUCAUUUAAAGAGUGCGUAACAGCUCACUAGUCGAGCGAUCGUGCGUGGAUAAUAAACGGGCAUAAGUAUAUCACCGAAGCAGUAGAUUUAUGGUAGGGGAGCAUUCUCUCCGCAGUGAAGCCGUAUCGUAAGGUAUGGUGGAGCGGUGAGAAAAGAAAAUGUAGGCAUAAGUAACGAUUAAGGAAGUAAAGAAACUUCCUCGCCAAAAGACCAAGGGUUCCUGAACAAUGUUAAUCAGUUCAGGUUUAGUCGGGUCCUUAGGUUCAUCCGAGAGGAGAUACCGAUGGAAAACAGGUUUAUAUUCCUGUACCCGCAUAUCACUAAAAGUGACGGAGAAUCGUACCUGUUACGUGCUGACGGAAUAGCACGUUGAGCCGAGCCUUCGUGGGGAAGCAAAACAGGGAAAGUACUUCCAAGAAAAGCGAGAUAUGCGGUCCGUACCCGAAACCGACACAGGUGGUCAAGUAGAAUAUACUAAGGCGCUCGAGUGAAUCACGGUUAAGGAACUAGGCAAAUUAGUCUCGUAACUUCGGAAAAAGAGACACCACAGUAAUGUGGUCGCAGAGAAAUGGCCCUGGCGACUGUUUAUCAAAAACACAUGGCUAUGCUAAAUCGAAAGAUGAUGUAUAUGGCCUGACACCUGCCCGGUGCUGGAAGGUUAAAAGGAGAUGUCAGCGCAAGCGAAGCAUUGAAUUGAAGCCCCAGUAAACGGCGGCCGUAACUAUAACGGUCCUAAGGUAGCGAAAUUCCUUGUCGG
rnacentral:rRNA from 1 species